rnacentral:rRNA from 1 species
GAAUUCGGCUUAGAGUUUGAUCCUGGCUCAGGAUGAACGCUGGCGGCGUGCUUAAGACAUGCAAGUCGAACGAGGGCUUCUUGUAGUAAUACGAGGAGUUCCUAGUGGCGAAUGGGUGCGUAACACGUAGGUGACCUGCCCUGAAGAGGAGGAUAACAGUCCGAAAGGACUGCUAAUACUCCAUGUGGUCCUAGAGGUUAGAGGCUCUAGGUCUAAAGUUGCAAAACGCUUCAGGAGGGGCCUGCGGCCCAUCAGCUAGUUGGUAGGGUAAUGGCCUACCAAGGCGACGACGGGUAGGGGACCUGAGAGGGUGGCCCCCCACAUUGGCACUGACACACGGGCCAAACUCCUACGGGAGGCAGCAGUCGGGAAUAUUGCGCAAUGGACGAAAGUCUGACGCAGCAACGCCGCGUGAGCGAUGAAGGCCUUCGGGUCGUAAAGCUCUUUUCGGGAGGAUGAGGAAGGACAGUACUCCCGGAAUAAGUCACGGCUAACUACGUGCCAGCAGCCGCGGUAAAACGUAGGUGACAAGCGUUAUCCGGAUUUACUGGGCGUAAAGCGCGU